rnacentral:rRNA from 1 species
AGUUUGAUUAUGGCUCAGAUUGAACGCUGGCGGGAUGCUUCACAUGCAAGUCGAACGGCAGCACGGACUUCGGUCUGGUGGCGAGUGCGGCGUAGAACGGGUGAGUAAUGUAUCGGAACGCCUAGUAGCGGGGAUAAUUCAUGAAGCAUUACCGUAUAUUGCCUCUUCGGGGGAAAGCGGACUUUCGGGCCCCGCACUAUUAGAGUGGCCGAUAUCGAUUAGCUAGUUGGUGGGGUAACGGCUCACCAAGGCGACGAUCCGUAGCUGGUUUGAGAGGGACGACCAGCCACACUGGGACUGAGACACGGCCCAGACUCCUACGGAGGCAGCAGUGGGGAAUUUGACAAUGGGGAAACUCCUGAUCCAGCCAUCCCGCGUGCGAUGAAGGCCUUCGGGUUGUAAAGCACUUUGGCAGGAAAAAAAGAAACGGUAUCGAUAAUACCCCGUGCAACUGACGGUACCUGCAGAAUAAGCACCGGCUGGUCCAUGUGCCAGCAGCCGCGGUAAUACGGGUGCAAGCGUUAAUCGGAAUUACUGGGCGUAAGCGCGUGCAGGCGGUUCGGAAAGAAAGAUGUGAAAUCCCAGAGCUUAACUUUGGAACUGCAUUUUUAACUACCGAGCUAGAGUGUGUCAGAGGGAGGUGGAAUUCCGCGUGUAGCAGUGAAAUGCGUAGAUAUGAGUGAACACCGAUGGUGAAGGCAGCCUGGGAUAACACUGACGCUCAUGCACGAAAGCGUGGGGAGCAACAGGAUUAGAUACAAUUUGUAGUCCACGCCCUAAACGAUGUCAACCAGCUGUUGGGGCCUUCGGGCCUUGGUAGCGCAGCUAACGCGUGAAGUUGACCGCCUGGGGAGUACGGUCGCAAGAUUAAAACUCAAAGGAAUUGACGGGGACCCGCACAAGCGGUGGAUGAUGUGGAUUAAUUCGAUGCAACGCGAAAAACCUUACCUACCCUUGACAUGUCUGGAAUCCCGAAGAGAUUUGGGAGUGCUCGCAAGAGAACCGGAACACAGGUGCUGCAUGGCUGUCGUCAGCUCGUGUCGAGAUGUUGGGUUAAGUCCCGCAACGAGCGCAACCCUUGUCAUUAGUUGCUACGAAAGGGCACUCCCCAUCGAGACUGCCGGUGACAAACCGGAGGUGGGGAUGACGUCAAGUCCUCAUGGCCCUUAUGGGUAGGGCUUCACACGUCAUACAAUGGUCGGGACAGAGGGUCGCCAACCCGCGAGGGGGAGCCAAUCCCAGAAACCCGAUCGUAGUCGGAUCGCAGUCUGCAACUCGACUGCGUGAAGUCGGAAUCGCUAGUGACCGCGGAUCAGCAUGUCGCGGUGAAUACGUUCCCGGGUCUUGUACACACCGCCCGUCACACCAUGGGAGUGGGUUUUACCAGAAGUAGUUAGCCUAACCGUAAGGAGGGCGAUUACCACGGUAGGAUUCAUGACUGGGGUGAAGUCGUAAAUAAGGUAG